GAAUUCGCCCUUAGAGUUUGAUCCUGGCUCAGGACGAACGCUGGCGGCGCGCCUAACACAUGCAAGUCGAACGAGAGAGAGGGAGCUUGCUUCCUUGAUCGAGUGGCGAACGGGUGAGUAACGCGUGAGGAACCUGCCUCAAAGAGGGGGACAACAGUUGGAAACGACUGCUAAUACCGCAUAAGCCCACGACCCGGCAUCGGGAAGAGGGAAAAGGAGCAAUCCGCUUUGAGAUGGCCUCGCGUCCGAUUAGCUAGUUGGUGAGGUAACGGCCCACCAAGGCGACGAUCGGUAGCCGGACUGAGAGGUUGAACGGCCACAUUGGGACUGAGACACGGCCCAGACUCCUACGGGAGGCAGCAGUGGGGAAUAUUGCACAAUGGGGGAAACCCUGAUGCAGCGACGCCGCGUGGAGGAAGAAGGUCUUCGGAUUGUAAACUCCUGUUGUUGAGGAAGAUAAUGACGGUACUCAACAAGGAAGUGACGGCUAACUACGUGCCAGCAGCCGCGGUAAAACGUAGGUCACAAGCGUUGUCCGGAAUUACUGGGUGUAAAGGGAGCGCAGGCGGGCGAUCAAGUUGGAAGUGAAAUCCAUGGGCUCAACCCAUGAACUGCUUUCAAAACUGGUCGUCUUGAGUAGUGCAGAGGUAGGCGGAAUUCCCGGUGUAGCGGUGGAAUGCGUAGAUAUCGGGAGGAACACCAGUGGCGAAGGCGGCCUACUGGGCACCAACUGACGCUGAGGCUCGAAAGUGUGGGUAGCAAACAGGAUUAGAUACCCUGGUAGUCCACACCGUAAACGAUGAUUACUAGGUGUUGGGAGAUUGACCCUCUCAGUGCAGGCAAGUUAACACAAUAAGUAAUCCACCUGGGGAGUACGACCGCAAGGUUGAAACUCAAAGGAAAUUGACGGGGGCCCGCACAAGCAGUGGAGUAUGUGGUUUAAUUCGACGCAACGCGAAGAACCUUACCAAGUCUUGACAUCCUCUGACGAACGUAGAAAUACGUUUUCUCUUCGGAGCAGAGAGACAGGUGGUGCAUGGUUGUCGUCAGCUCGUGUCGUGAGAUGUUGGGUUAAGUCCCGCAACGAGCGCAACCCUUAUGGUCAGUUACUACGCAAGAGGACUCUGGCCAGACUGCCGUUGACAAAACGGAGGAAGGUGGGGAUGACGUCAAAUCAUCAUGCCCUUUAUGACUUGGGCUACACACGUACUACAAUGGCGUUAAACAAAGAGAAGCAAGACCGCGAGGUGGAGCAAAACUCAGAAACAACGUCCCAGUUCGGACUGCAGGCUGCAACUCGCCUGCACGAAGUCGGAAUUGCUAGUAAUCGUGGAUCAGCAUGCCACGGUGAAUACGUUCCCGGGCCUUGCACACACCGCCCGUCA
rnacentral:rRNA from 1 species